GUGAUUUGUGUUGUGAGGCUUCCUUGGGUGAACUAAGUGAUCGGCCAAGAUGCAGGUCGAGAGGCUCCUCGCUAGGCAUCUGGAUCCUGGGAAGCAAAGUAGUCCUUGGGUGUAUUUUGGUUUUCUGUUUGUAUAUAUGCAUAUAUGUAUUUAGCUUACUCUCCAAAUAACUUAUGUAUGCUGCUCCUCUUAGAGGUUGAGGGAGAGAUAGGAGUUUACUUUGGUA